ensembl:lncRNA
AAAAAAUAUAACAUCAAUUUAGAAACAGAAUAACUUUUAUUAUAUGCAAUAUAUUUAAGUAAUUAUAUAUUGAUAAAUGUUAACUAUCUACUUUUAUUUUGACAUAAUGUUUUCAAAACGCAAUAAUUAUAAGUACAUAAUUACUAUUCUUGCAUUAUAAUGUAUAUUUAAUAAAAAAAAAAAAAAAAAAAAAAGAAUAUAUAUAUUUUAUACUUUUAUACAUUUGUAUAUUACAAAAUUUUACUAUGCAUAAUUAAUAAUACAAUUUCAAUAGUGCUUAUCCUAUCACAAUUAUACAUAAUAUUUAACAUUAUUAAAUAGAUUACAUUGCUUAGAAAAUUUUUACAUAAUUCUAUAAAAAUUUUUUAUUAAAAAUACUAUAAAUGUACAUUUCGAUUAAAAUAAGAGUAGUUUAAACGAAUAUAUACUUUAUACAUAAUUUUAUCAAUAUUUACUUUCACGCAAAAAUAUAUGUAUACAAAAUUGAAAAAAAAAAAAAAGUGUUAUUUUUUACAAUAAUAUUUUUUUCAAAAUUGUAUCAUUAAAAUUUUAUACAAUAUAUAUAUAUAUAUAUAUAUAUAUAUAUAUAUAUAUAUAUUUGCAUGUUCAACAUAAUUACUACUUAAAAAACUGAAUUUAUCUUAAACUAUCAAUUGCUUCUUAUUUUUAUAUUUACUAAUUACUAACAAAUUAUGGAUUCCUGUAGUAGUACAAGCUCAUUUUUUACGAGGUCUAGCGUACUUGAAUAUAAAGACGCGGAUGAAAAAUUUUCGUCGGCUAUGUGUAAUGGAAAACCUUAUAACGGAAAUAUCAAAAUUAGAAAAUGCUUGAAGAGUUUGAGUUUAUUUGCCUGCUCAUUUGUUUUUCUUUAUAUAAUAUUGCUGAAUAUAACAAAAUUUGAUAAUAAUAAGACAAUAACAAAAUUAGCAUGUCAGAACGCAUACUCAAGAACAUUAUCUGAGUUGAAUGGAGAUGUUGAAUCAUGUCCUCAUGGAAUGUGCACUACCAAAAUCAAAGAUCAAGAAGAAGCUACAAAAAAAUUACAUGAUGUUAAACUCAAAAAAAAAAGCAAAACAGUACCAGAUGAACCUUUAAAUGAAAAGGAUAAGUUAAUGGAUUUACCACAUUUUUUACGUGAUGAUUUUAUGUUUAAUAUAACUGAAGAAAAAUUUCAGGAACUUAUCGAUGCAUUAGAAGAUAAACCAUCGAAGGAUGCAAUUGAAAAAAUUUGGGCACAUGGAGUAUAUAUGGAAAUUAAUAAAUUUAUAGUAAUGUUAUUUGAGUUAUAUGACUAUUAUAUGAAAACAAAAGAUAUAUAUAUUUUAGUGCAUACCGUUUCAGAAAAAAUGAAACAGAAUAUCUUCAACCCAUUUUUUGAUAGUUUAAAUAAUUUAUAUAAUCAUAUAAAUGAGGAAUAUAAUAAAUUGAAUGAAAAAAAGGUAGUGAAAAAGCAAGACAUACAAGAAUUAACUAAACAUUGGAAAGAGGAAUGUAAAGAAUUACAAGAAAAAAUGUAUACUAUAAUAAAAGAAACUAUUGAUCAAGCGGAAAUACCUCCAGCAAGUGAGAAAUAAUAUAAAAUACGACAAUAAUACAUAAUGUUUACAUGUACUAUCUAGUAAAAGCAAUUUAUUUAAUAAAAAAUUGUAACACCAAUUUAAUAAAACUUUG